AAAAUAGACAGGGAAGGGCAACGCGAAGGAGCAAUCCGACGCUGCUUCCCUUCGAGCACACAAGUCCGCCGUGGCUGCGCGUUGGUUCGUGCGUGCCUGCGUAGUCUUGCGCGCGUCGAGGGAGAGUUUUACACUCUCCUACUCGGUGUCGUCGCAUCUCGCGUGGUGUGUGCGCUCCGGCGCGUAGACAAACGUUGUUUCUUCUUAGAGGUAUUGACGACUCUACAUAAGUCGUACGAGACAGAGAGCAAUAACAGGUCUGUGAUGCCCUUAGAUGCCCUGGGCCGCACGCGAGCUACAAUGCCGGGUACAGCGGGUCUUACAUCCUUCUUCGAAAGAAGCGGGUAWCCCUCUGAAAGCCCUUCCGAUGUACGCUGUGGAACGCUACGUUCCUUACACGAACAUCAUGGCUCGA
rnacentral:rRNA from 1 species